UCACACAAGAGACCCAAAUUAAUCGUACACGGCGUAAAGAGUGGACCCAUGAUUAUCAAAACAAUUAAGGCCAAAACGCGACUAAGCUGUCAUAAGCUUAAGACACAUUAUAAAACCACCCUGAAAAUGACCUUAACACACACGAUACAUUAAACUCCACGAAAGCCAGGACACAAACUGGGAUUAGAUACCCCACUAUGCCUGGCCCUAAAUCUUGAUGCUUACCCCACCAAAGCAUCCGCCCGAGAACUACGAGCACAAACGCUUAAAACUCUAAGGACUUGGCGGUGCCCCAAACCCACCUAGAGGAGCCUGUCCUAUAAUCGACAACCCACGAUACACCCGACCACUUCUUGCCAAAAACAGCCUACAUACCGCCGUCGUCAGCCCACCUUCACUGAGAGAACAAUAGUGGGCUCAAUCGCCCUCACCCCGCCAACAAGACAGGUCAAGGUAUAGCCUAUGAAGUGGAAGAGAUGGGCUACAUUUUCUAUGUUAGAAAACCCCUAUUAGACGGAAGGGGGUACGAAACUUCCCCCUAAAGGCGGAUUUAGCAGUAAAGCAGGACAAUAAAGCCCCCUUUAAACCGGCUCUGAGGCACGUACAUACCGCCCGUCACCCUCCUCAUAAGCUCCAAACUUCCAUUAAUAAUACACCCGCCCGCUAAAGAUGAGGUAAGUCGUAACAAGGUAAGUGUACCGG
rnacentral:rRNA from 1 species